CGAUACUCAUCGGGGAGCUAUUCAUUGAGUCAAUGAAGCUGAGAUCGAACCCUUACCAUGUCGCGGUAAGUGUGCGGGACCCGUAGACCUGAACCAGAUAAUGCUGGCGUAGGAAUUGAGUUAGGACAUGCU
rnacentral:ncRNA from 1 species